UGCCCUGUGGUGUAAUGGUAGCACAUCGGAUUCUGGUUCCGCUUGUCUGAGUUCGAAUCUUAGCAGGGCAA
rnacentral:tRNA from 1 species